UGUUCAUUCUCAAGAUAGCUGUCCUUGUCCUGCGGUUGUGGAUCCAGUUUGCUCCACAACUAAUGAGACUCAUGAUAAUGAAUGUAUCCUAAUUUGCGCUAAUCAAGUUUUAGCUUGCCGUCGUGAAUGUCCAUGCGAGACAGUUUCUGUGAUUGCAACAGCAUCACCACACGGCUAAGUGGGAUGGAAUAAUACAUUUUAUAUAUAUUUCAAAAAAUUCAAAGAAUAAAAUAUUUUCAUA